rnacentral:rRNA from 1 species
GACGAACGCUGGCGGCGUGCUUAACACAUGCAAGUCGAACGGAAAGGCCCUGCUGUUGUGGGGUGCUCGAGUGGCGAACGGGUGAGUAACACGUGAGUAACCUGCCCUUGACUUUGGGAUAACUUCAGGAAACUGGGGCUAAUACUGGAUAGGAGCUCCUGCUGCAUGGUGUGGGUUGGAAAGUUUCGGCGGUUGGGGAUGGACUCGCGGCUUAUCAGCCUGUUGGUGGGGUAGUGGCUUACCAAGGCUUCGACGGGUAGCCGGCCUGAGAGGGUGACCGGGCACAUUGGGACUGGGAUACGGCCCAGACUGCUACGGGAGGCAGCAGUGGGGAAUAGUGCGCAAUGGGCGGAAGCCUGAUGCAGCAACGCCGCGUGCGGGAUGACGGCCGUCGGGUUGUAAACCGCUUGCGCCUGUGACGAAGCGUGAGUGACGGUAAUGGAUAAAGAAGCACCGGCUAACUACGUG